AUUUUUUUUCUAUCUUUUCUCUCCUCUUUUGCCUGAGAAGUUGGAUCUCAUCACCACCAGAACAAAAAUAAUAGAUCUAUAUACACGAGAUGAAACAAUUGCUGGAAUAAAUCAAAACUGAUCUUCCAACAGAUGACAUAUAUGUUUCAACAGAUAAAAGAUGUCUCUCCAAAAAAAGAAAAGUAAAAGUGGGAUCAACUUAUGAUCGACCAACUUAAAAGGCUGGAGUAAAGAUGGUAUGUGUUACUGAUUAGAAUAUCAUGAAAACCCACAUAAAGUAGAACGAUUUUAUGAAUGUUGUUUUUUUACUAAUUAGGCAUUGACCAUUAAAACAAGAUUUUGCCUUUUACAGUUAAGUUUGGUAGGUCUGAACUAAUAAGGCAGAAGAACCUAGAAGGUGGUGUGGAUACCCUGCUAUAGUUAAUAAUGGUUUUGAUAAUGUUUUUAUUUACGUGUUUAGUGUGGAGAAGGGAUAAGAUUUUAUGGCAGUGUAUAUGUUUAAUAGUAAUAGGACUGGUUUAAAGGGUUCAACGGAUUAUUGAAAGGCCUCCAACUAUAAAAUUCUUUGAGGGAUGAUUUUUUUCUAGAAAACUAGAUCUCAGAUUGUAAAAUGAACACUCAGCUAAAGUACAGACUAAAGUGAAUCUGUACUUUAUAUGAGUGUACAUUUUACUGCCUGAGAUCUAAUUUCUCAGGAAUAAAAUCAUCCCUCAAAGUAUUUUAUAGUCGGAGGCCUUUGAACAAUCCGUUGGACCCUUAAGACCAAUCCUAUCACUAUUAAACAUCUACACUGCCAUCAAAUCUUUAUCCCUUCUCCAAACUAUACACAUAAAUAUAAACAUUAGCAAAACCAUCAUUAGACUGUAGCAGGGUAUCCACACCACCUUGUAAGUCGCUCAGCCUUAUCAGUUCAGACCUACCAAACUUAACUUUAAAAGGCAAGAUCUUAUUUUAAUGAUUAAUACCUAAACGAUACAAAAUAAUAUUCACAAAAUAAUUGUACUUUAUUUGUGUUUGUCAUAAUAACCUAAUAGUAAUACAUACCUCACAAAUAUAAAAGUGGAUCCAUCCAUUUACAUGCACCUUAUUCUUCCUACCCUAUUUGUUCCCAUCAAUGACAGAAAUAAAAUAGUGUUUUAUCUUUAAUAUCUUCAAUUUCCAUCAUGAAGUAGUGUACAAAAAACGUAAAAGUAGUUUGAUUAAAUCAACAAAUUAGCUACCUGUUGCAACAAAUAACUCAUUUGUUGGAAUUUAUCAAACAGACAGGUAAGCUGUUGCGACAAAUUACAUAUCUGUUGGAAGGAAAUCAAAAUAGGUCCUACUAGUUGUUUGAUUUAAUCCAACAGAUCACUAACCUAUUGCAACA